rnacentral:lncRNA from 1 species
GGGCUCCAUUUCUGGACAAUAAUUAAUAUGCAAUUAGAUUAUUGAUUAGCUUAAUUUAAUUAAGCAAUAUAUUUUGAUUCAAGUCUAAUUGAAUUGGAUUCAAUUAGGUUUAACCCAAUUAGGUUAUGAGAUGACCUAAUUGCCAAGGGUGAUUAAUUCCUGAUUUGAUCAAGACUUGGAUUUGAUUAAAUUUUGAUUUGAUUAGAAUUUAAUCUAGUUGGUUUUAUACUGAAUUAGAUAGGAUUCAAGUUAUCUAAUUGGGUCUAACCUAAUUUUAUUAGGAUGAAGACUUAAUGGAUAAAUUCUAAAGUCCAAAUUAGAUUGGACUCUACCUAGCCAACACCCUUGCUCACACCCAUAA